UGACCAUAUAGCAUUAGAACAUUGGUUCUCGUACAGUCACCAAAGUUAAGCAACGUUGAGCCUGGUCAGUACCUAGAAGGAUGACCACUUGUGAAUACCAGGUGCUGUAAG